AUUGAACGCUGGCGGCAGGCCUAACACAUGCAAGUCGAGCGAGCGGCGGACGGGUGAGUCAUGUCUGGGAACCUGCCUGUUGGAGGGGGAUAACUACUGGAAACGGUAGCUAAUACCGCAUACCAUCAGAUGUGCCCAGAUUGGAUUAGCUAGUGGGUGGGGUAACGGCUCACCUAGGCGACGAUACCUAGCUGGUCUGAGAGGAUGACCAGCCACACUGGAACGGAGACACGGUCCAGACUCCUACGGGAGGCAGCAGUGGGGAAUAUUGGACAAUGGGCGCAAGCCUGAUGCAGCCAUGCCGCGUGUGUGAAGAAGGCCUUCGGGUUGUAAAGCACUUUAAGCGGGGAGGCGUUACCCGCAGAAGAAGCACCGGCUAACUCCGUGCCAGCAGCCGCGGUAAUUC
rnacentral:rRNA from 1 species